UGCCUUCAGUUCAGUUCGAGGCAGCCACAAAAGGAGUCACUAUACAAAUCGGAGCAAAAUUUAUUAAAAUAUAAAAUUUGAAAUUUUUUUACUAAGUGUGUGCGGUUACUAAAUUUUUCGGAUCUAAGUAGACGGUUCAAACUGCUUUCCAACAGUUCGUACAGUUGACCUUCAGUUCAAUUCAAGGCAGCCAAAAAAGUAGACCUUUUUCCAAAUCAAGCAUUUCUAAAGAAAACAAAAUAAAUGUGCCUUUGUACUGUUGCGUGAUCCCUAUUCGGAAAACCAUUGGAAGCCCAAGAGAUUCAAAUGCUUGAAUGUGUUAUUAAAGCAAAUAUAUCAAGCUAUAUUAAAUAAUUUACAACGCAAUGGAUUGCUUCCAAGUGACGAAGGUUGUCAACCGACAUGUGCUCAAGGCCAUUUACCAGUACUCGGAGCAGCUGUUCCAGGACUCCAUCGCUUUGUCAACUAUUAAGCUGGAGGUGAGCUACAGCAUGAAGAAUGUCAAUCCUAUCCAAGACCUGGAUAGCUUGAUUGAGUCGUCGGUGGAGAACCUCACCCUAAUCGGCGUUCUGAAGGAGACAGCGCUCAAUGGCAGCGAUGAGAAGUGGGUUGACUUCACAAGUCUAUACGGAGACCUCUUGGAUCUUCGGCUUUUAUUAACCAUCCGAAAAGUGAAAUCAUAAGCUGGUGGACGGGCACCUAAGCUGUCGAAAGGUUUUCGAUAGGCAUCGGCAGGGCCAGUACUGUCUACAGAGUCUCGCAAUCUCGUAAACUGUGGAGGAUGCGGGGCUGGAGCUCGGGGUUGAAGCUCGGAGGCUGUCGAAAGGCAUCGGCAGGGCCAGUACUGUCUACAGAGUCUCGCAAUCUCUUAAACUGUGGAGGAUGCGGGGCUGAAGCUCGGAUUUAGAGUUGAUAUUGAGACAGGUUUGCAGGCUUGAACUGAAGCUCGUACUUCUUCUCAUCGCUGCCAUUGAUCGCUGUCUCCUUGAGAACGCCGAUUAGGGUGAGGUUCUUUACCGACGAAUCAAGCUAUCCAGGUCUUGGACAGGAUUAACAUUCUUCAUAGUGUAGCUCACCUCCAGCUUAAUAGUUGACAAAGCGAUGGAGUCCCGGAACAGCUGCUCCGAGUACUGGUAAAUGGCCUUGAGCACAUGUCGGUUGACAACCUUCGGCACUUGGAAGCAAUCCA